GUAAAUCUACUAUCAUCAGAACCUGUGCGACUUGUCGGUUUUACUGACUAACUGACUAGUCUAACUGCUGUUUAACUGCUGUCUAGCUUCCGCUAACUGUGUGUGUGUGUGAAAUAAACCUUCAGAAAGACAGUCGAGUGUGCAUUUGGACUUUCUGGGUAUCUCAUAGGACUACUGGAAUUAAGCUAAGUAUCACUUCUGUAGGUCUUUCUUAUUUGGUUGCUUUUUCAUUAAUUGCUAUUGUAUCUAGCUGGGUUGCUUGACUUUUGACUUGUCUGGGGCGUGGCCAACACAGCUGAGUAAGAUUUAAACCAGACCCAAACCAGCAUUUCUCAUUGUGCAUUUGGACGUUCUGGGUAUCUCAUAGGACUACUGGAAUUAAGCUAAGUAUUUUUUUUAAAACUUCAUUGAAUCUUCAUUGGCUACAGGGGAGUGGCCAACACAGCUGUAACCAAUCAGCCCCUAAUCAGGUGUCUUUUAAAAAGCAGCAUUCCCUUUGAAGCGGCAGCUUCAGGCAGACUCAGGAAGACAAAGACAAAGGACUCUCAACCGGAGUCUAACAAGGAGGCUAACAAGGAGGCUAAUGAGGCUAAGUGCCUGCCUGCAAUUGUUUUUCUACCUUUCACAUAUGUGCACUUUUUCUUCUUUCUUCUCGCAGAUAUUACAAACCUCACAUUCACUCACAGCAUCACCGUAAUCUGUCCUCACUUAUCUAUCCCACCCGCUCCACACACAUCCACCACCUUGUUGCAGGGGGCCUGUGGAACUGCCAGUCAGAGGCCGAGCUAGAGGGGGGGCCGGGGUAGCACUGGACCCCCCUGAAAUCUGAUUGGACCCCCCAGGUGCGCCCCCAGAUGAUUGACAUAUCACGCUACCGCACGUCUUGUCGCAAGGAGCCAGUUGCAUUUUUAAAUCAGUGACGCCUAUUGACUGCUAAGCCCCUCCUGUACACUAGUUGGCGCAAAGAGUUGUAAUCCACAUUUAUUAGAAGAGAACCGUUUAUCGUUGCUGGAGUGCGUUGAGCCAGGAGAACAGGACAGCGGAUCAACACAUGACACGACGAAAAAGAAGAAGAAGAGAGGUAGGAUAAAUAGACUUCAUGGACAGUGAAAUCCUCAUUCUAAAGUAAGUUUUACGGGGGUGUCGUAAUAAGUCACUGACAGUGACUCAUUAGGAGCCACGGGUAUAAAGUUAACAAUGUUAACAUUAAGUUACAUCUCAUGGCGUCUACAGAUGACCAGUGUCAUCAUUAAUUUCGGGUUGCUGCUUAGGAUGCAUUUACAUGUUUAUCCGAUGAUUUUAGAGGACUGAAACUAGCAGACAAUCAGCCAGCUAGCUGUUUCAUGUUCUGUUUAUCCUUCACGUCUUGCCCUGUGUUAUGUCUCUAUACUGUUGGUAUACGUUACUGGUAUGUUUGUAUACAUUACAUAAAUCUGAAACUAAAAUAUAUUAAAAACGUAACGUGGAGAUGGUAGCCAGCCUGUCAACUAGCUGAAAGUCUGAAUAUUAAACUUACAUCUACAGUGGUCUAUGUCUCCUGACAUUUGUUAGGCUUGAAGUGGGGAUUUAAUAACAUUGUGCAAUUAUAAGUGAUGCUAGGAGUAACAAGACUGGAUUAUUUUUUCAUAGGGUCAGUUGAGAAUGAAAAGACAGGGGGACAAGAUACAUGACUUCUUCUUAAAGAGAAGCAAGUCAGGCAAAGAUGAGGGAGGCAGACAGACAGACAGACAGAACUCAGCUCUGAGAUCAGUAGUCCUUGCAGCUUCCAUCCUGUGACUAGUCAGGAGUGAGAAUGUGAGGCACAACACAGCCCAUCAUCACCAGUUCCAUCGAAGGAGGACACAGAAGCCUCUGAUUCUGACGAAGAUGUUGGUGAGCCAGAAGAGCCAGACCCGGAGCCAGCUGUGUCCAGUGUGUGUGUGUGUGUGUGUGAGUGUGUAACUGUGUGUGAGUGAGUACCAGAGAGAGAGCAUUUUCAUCAUUUUUGUAAAAAUGAUGUCAUUAUUGAAAAAUUGUUGCCAAGUUGUGUUUUACAUUGUGUACAAUGUUAAUAAAAUGCAAAUUAUACACACAAAUCUGAUCUCCUGUGUGCUUAGUAUGUACAUUUUAACAUUAAGAAACUCAGAUUGCAAUUUAUUGGUCGAGAAACAAAUUCAUUGUCAUAGUCUGUGGACCCCCUGAAAUAGCCUUGACCCGUCUGAAGUAAAUAACUACAGACCUGUCUCUCUUCUUCCUUUUCUUUCCAAAACUCUGGAGCGUGCUAUCUUUAAUCAACUCUCUUCCUACCUUCACUGGAACAACCUUCUCGAUCCUCUUCAGUCUGGUUUUAAAGCAGGUCACUCGACCGAAACUGCACUUCUUGCUGUCACUGAGCAACUCCACACUGCCAGGGCUGCCUCUCUCUCGUCCUCUUGGACCUUUCUGCAGCGUUUGACACAGUUAACCACCAGAUCCUUACUUCCUCCCUUCAAGAACUAGGUGUCUCAGGCUCUGCACUUACCCUACUCUCAUCCUCAACCUUCAAAACCGAACAUACAGAGUAACCUGGAGAGGAUCUGUGUCGGAACCCUUUCCUCUAGCUACUGGGAUCUCCGCUUGUCUGACUGACAUCUCUCAGUGGAUGUCGGACCAUCACCUGAAACUCAAUCUCGACAAGACCGAGUUUCUUUUUCUCACAGGAAAGGGUUCUCCCACCACAGAUGUGUCCAUCAUCCUCGACAACGCUGUGGUAGCUCCUUCUCAUACUGCAAGGAACCUGGGUGUGACACUUGAUGACCAUCUCUCCCUCACUGCCAACAUUGCUGCAACAGUUCGAUCUUGCAGAUACAUGUUGCACAACAUCAGAAGGAUACGGACUCUUCUUACCCAGAAGGCGGCACAGGUUCUGGUCCAGGCUCUUGUCAUCUCACGCUUGGAUUACUGCAACUCCCUCCUGGCUGGUCUCCCUGCGUGUGCCAUACGACCUCUGCAACUCAUCCAGAAUGCAGCAGCUCGACUGGUCUUCAACUUACUUAGACUUAGACUUAGACUUCCUUUUAUUGUCAUUGCACAGAAUACACAGCAGUGAAAACUGGCAACGAAAUUUCGUUGCUUGGCAGCAGAUAAUAAACCAACACAUAGCAUUGAAUUUUUGUCACUUAUGAGUUUAUGAUGGGAAAUGUCUUUUAUCUUACUGUAAAUGUCUAUACAUGUAUCCAACUUUUUUGACUGACUAUGAUUAAUAAAAAAAAUAAAUAAAGUGUUUUAUGUAUAUAAAUAUAGGUAAGUAAAAAUAGUGCAAAAAGAGAACAGGAAUGAAAACUGUAGCAGCAAUAUGAAAGGAAAAAAAAACAGUUAAAUAUUGCACAGAUAGUGUCGGGAAGGGGGGGGGGGGGACUGCUAAAUUGUUAUUUGGAAUUUAGCAGUCUGAUGGCCAGCGGAAAGUAGCUGUUCUUGAGUCGGUUUGUUCUGCAGCGGAUGCUGCGGAACCUCCUGCCAGACGCCAGCAGGGAGAACAGUCCAUGGUGGGGGUGGGUGUGGUCAGUGAGGAUCUGGUGAGCCCUGGUUAGACAGCGCCUGUGUGCAAUGUCUUUGAUGGGUGGGAGUGGUCCCAAUGAUCUUCUCCGCUGUUCUCACCACCCUCUGCAGAGACUUCCAGUCGGAGGCCUUGCAGCUCCCAGACCAGACGGAGAUGCCACUGGUCAGCAGGCUCUCGAUGGUCCCUCUGUAGAAGGUACCAAAAUUCUCCCACACUACACCGCUCCUCCGCUCCCUUCACUGGCUUCCUGUAGCUGCUCGCAUCCACUUCAAGACUCUAGUGCUUGCAUUCCAUGCUACAAACGGAUCCGGUCCAGCCUACAUCCAGGACAUGAUCUAAACCUACACCCCAGCCCGCCCACUCUGCCCCUCACUGAGAGGAUCGCAGAGGCAUUCACAGAACUUGAGACUGUUCACUGUCCUAGCUCCCAAAUGGUGGAACGAGCUCCCCAUUGACAUCGGGACAUAGAUAGAUAGCUAGCACUAGCACUUUAUAGUUUGGCUUACUUGAAGCUCUUACUUCUAGCUCUUGUUUGUACCCAAAUGUUUAAAUGCACUUAUUGUAGGUGGCUUUGGCUAAAAGCGUCUGCUAAAUGACAUGUAAUGUAAUGUAAGGCCCGUCAUACUUGUUCUGGUUGCCCCUUCCAGAAGGGAUUAUUGAGAAGAUUAUUGAGAUUAUUGAGAAGGUGAUGCUACGACAGGUAUUUUAAACACAAUUCUCAAAUGUUACGACGCAUCUCAUUGGACAAUCGAAAAUGAUGGGUCACAUGUGCAGAACAACAAGCAUUGGUGGUUCAGUGGUAGAAUUCUCGCCUGCCAGAUACAGGCCGGGCGAAGUUAGCUGGAAUGCACUGACAGCCAAUCAGACGGCAGCAUUUUCAUGUAUGCUGCUGUCCCCUGAUCAUUGGUGCUGAUCUGGUGCAUUAGACAUCUAAAUCUCAGGAUAGAGAGUUUAAAAUUGUAUCAUUGUUGCGUGUGGCCAUGACAUCACUCACUCAUUAAGACAUUUAUUCAAUCCCUGUGCUGUGCUUAAACCUGCAUGUCUCUCUUUUCUUAUCAGGCUGGCUCACUCAGGCUGACACACCUGCAGCAGAUCCAGCAUCGUUACACCCAAUUACCAGCCUGCUAUAAAAGCCAGCAGUGCAGUUGCUCAAGAGACUGAGACCCAGCAACACCUUACUCCCACAGUAUCAUUUGUUAAAUACCUUUACCUUUCAGUAAUCCUUGAUUUAGUUAUUUUAUUUUGGCCUGGAGAUGGCCGGUAGUUCUACUUUUCGCUUAGCUUUAGUUCAUUAUUUGGUUUUGUCAGGGAGGGAGGGGGAACCAGCUUCGACGUCCCUAUAGGGGGUGGCCUGGGCCCCCCUCCAUUUUGCUGAGUUUGGCUGGCAUCUCCAGGUCCCUUUUGGUUUGCUGAUACUUUAUUUGGUAAGGUAUUUAUAUUAUUUAUUUUAUCUUUAAUUGUGGUUUUCUUUAAGAAUAUUCAUUUCCCUGUGGGAGAAUAAAACCGGUUAAAACGUUCAA